rnacentral:rRNA from 1 species
AUGGUUAAGCUAAUAAGAGCGCAGGGUGGAUGCCUUGGCACUAAGAGCCGAAGAAAGACGUGAUAAGCUGCGAAAAGCUGCGGGGAGGAGCAAAUGUCCAUUGAUCCGCAGAUGUCUGAAUGGGGAAACCCGUCUGGAAGAACUCCAGUCACUGCAUGUUGAAUACAUAGGCAUGCAGGGGGAACCCGGUGAACUGAAACAUCUAAGUAGCCGGAGGAAAAGAAAGAAAAAUCGAUUUCCAAAGUAGCGGCGAGCGAAAUGGAAGGAGCCCAAACCGGGAUGCGUGCAUUCCGGGGUUAUGGACCGCAAGAAGUGACCCGUAAGAUAGAAGAAUGGCAUUGGGAAAGCCAGCCACAGAGGGUGAAAGCCCCGUAUUCGAAAUCAGAAGGGAGCGAGCGGAAUCCGAAGUACUACGAGACACGUGGAACCUUGUAGGAAAUCGGGGGGACCACCCCCCAAGGCUAAAUACUCCUUAGUGACCGAUAGCGCAUAGUACUGUGAAGGAACGGUGAAAAGAACCCCGGGAGGGGAGUGAAAGAGAACCUGAAACCCUGUGUUUAAAGCACCAAAGGUGUGGAGCCGAAGGGAAACCAAGUCUUAACAGGGCGAGUUAGUCAGUGUGAGUAGACCCGAAACCGGGUGACCUACCCAUGUCCAGGAUGAAGUUGCCGUAAAAGGCAAUGGAGGUCCGAACACACAUCCGUUGAAAAGGGUGGUGAUGAGGUGUGGGUAGCGGAGAAAUUCCAAUCGAACCCGGAGAUAGCUGGUUCUCCUCGAAAUAGCUUUAGGGCUAGCCUCAAUUUAGUCUUGCGGAGGUAGAGCACUGAAUAUCCUAGGGGGCGUCAAAGCUUACCGAAGAUUAUCAAACUCCGAAUGCCGUAAAGAUGAUGAUUGGGAGUCAGACUGCACGAGAUAAGUUGGGUAGUCAAAAGGGAAACAGCCCAGACCUCCAGCUAAGGUCCCAAAGUGAGUGUUAAGUGGAAAAGGAUGUGGGAUUUCGAAGACAACUAGGAUGUUGGCUCAGAAGCAGCCAUUCAUUCAAAGAGUGCGUAAUAGCUCACUAGUCGAGCACCGAAGCUGAGGAAUGACAAUGUCAUUGGUAGAGGAGCAUUCUUAACUGCGACGAAGCUGUACCGAAAGGAGCAGUGGAGUGUUAAGAAGAGAGAAUGCCGGAAUGAGUAGCGAGAGUGAGGUGAGAAUCCUCACGGCCGAAUAUCUAAGGUUUCCAGGGUAAAGCUGAUCUGCCCUGGGUAAGUCGGGACCUAAGGCGAGGCCGAGAGGCGUAGCCGAUGGACAACAGGUUGAGAUUCCUGUACUGCGAUAUGACAGAACUGUGGGGACGCAUGUGGAGAGCACGAGCCGGGAAUGGAAAUACCGGUACAAGCGGAGAAGGAGUCUGGUUGGCAAAUCCGCCAGGCAAUCCGAAGACGUGAUGUGGAGCGAAUUAAAGUAGCGAAGCGUGUGAGCCAUGUGCCGAGAAAAGCCGCUAUUGUUUCAUGUGUGCCCGUACCGUAAACCGACACAGGUGGAUGAGGAGAGAAUCCUAAGGCCGACGGAAGAAGCAUUGUUAAGGAACUCGGCAAAAUGGCCCCGUAACUUCGG